UACGGAGGAUCCAAGCGUUAUUCGGAUUCACUGGGUUUAAAGGGUGCGUAGGCGGUAUAGAAAGUCAGAUGUGAAAGACAAUAACUUAAUUAUUGCAGUGCAUUUGAUACUUUUAUACUUGAAUGCAAAUGAGGUAUGUGGAAUGUAACAAGUAGCGGUGAAAUGCUUAGAUAUGUUACAGAACACCAAUUGCGAAGGCAGCAUACUAAAUUGCUAUUGACGCUGAGGCACGAAAGCGUGGGUAUCAAACAGG
rnacentral:rRNA from 1 species